rnacentral:rRNA from 1 species
CAGUCGCCACGGGAAUACGGAGGGGGCUAGCGUUGUUCGGAAUUACUGGGCGUAAAGCGUACGUAGGCGGCUUUGUAAGUUAGAGGUGAAAGCCUGGUGCUCAACACCAGAACUGCCUUUAAGACUGCAUCGCUUGAACGUCGGAGAGGUGAGUGGAAUUCCGAGUGUAGAGGUGAAAUUCGUAGAUAUUCGGAAGAACACCAGUGGCGAAGGCGGCUCACUGGACGACUGUUGACGCUGAGGUACGAAAGCGUGGGGAGCAAACAGGAUUAGAGACCCCUGUAGUCCCUGUCUCUUAUAC